CCAUGGGCGAGGCCGGGAUCCGAUGCUUCGUCGCCGAGGGCCCCGCGAUCUCCCAGCCGAGGGCCGCCGGCGGGGGACUAGUUGAUUGCGUGGUGGUCGGGGGCGAGAACAGCGGGCUCUGCAUCGCCCAGGCGCUCACCACGAAGCACCGCGACAAGGCCCCCGACGUGGUCAUCACCGAGGCCAGGGACCGCGUCGGUGACGACCACGUCGUCAGAUUUCCGUCCCUUCAUCGCGUUAUUUUCCACUGAAUGCAUCUUCAGAUGUACUUCUUCUCCAGUUGGAUCUAUAUACCGCAUCCAAUGGAGUUCUAAUUAGAAAUGCUGCCAGAACUAAUCCCAAAGAUCCUUCUAUUGAUUUGGGACCUGAAUUUGAUAAGUUCGGAAGUUUUGUGAGCCGCUUCGAGUCUAUUCCCAGUGUAGUUGAGUUGGAUAGCUUGAAAGUCACAGGUGAUGUGUCGUUUGGAAAUGGCAUUAAGCUCAAGGUAUAGACAUUGCGCUUGGCAUUUGUUUUUAUAUACUUUGUCCGAUUAUUGAGGAUCUACUACAAAUUUAUGGGACCUACAGUAAAACCCAUCAGACCACCGGUUAAAUUGUGAAGAUUUGCUUACUCUGUUGAGUCCAUCUAUAGAGUAUGAGUUGCAAGUAAA